rnacentral:lncRNA from 1 species
GAUGGCAACGAGAAAGGAUUUAGAAAACUAGGAAAAGUGGUUGGCCAACAAAGUGACAAGUGGGGGACAAUGAAAUUAAUUAAAUAACAAGGAUAAGAAAAUAAUGGAAGUAAUUAUGAAAGACAAAAGCAAGUGGGAAAUAGAAUGAUUAAAGUUGAAGACCAAAAUGUUGCUUCUGUGAUGGAAUAAAUUAGAAUUCAGUGAAGGCGUGCAACUCAACACCCAAAAUUUAGAAUCCACAGUUGAAGUUUUUGUAGGCAUUUUGUAAAGAGAGAGAUUAUUUGACUUGGUCUUGGGGAUUAGAGAGAAGGAGCAGCUAUUUACCAUUAAUACAUCUUCAAGGUAAGAAUUAAAUGCCUUUCUUUGAUAAAUUUGAUUCAUUUAUUACAUCUAUUAACCUUCCAAUAUCGUGGGAUUCAUAGAUUUUUGAAGAUAAUCUCAAGGACAUUUCAAGAAACUCAAAUCUUGAAACUUUUAGGGAUUGACAAAGAGGUAAUUCCUUCACUCCAAUCUUAUGUACUAUACUCCACGAGCAUAGUAGAGUAUAUUUAUAAAGUUAGAUUUGUAUUUAAAUAUCUAUUCAUAAAACUCUAGAAGCUAGUCUUGAAAUUGAAAAGUUGGUUGGUAAGAAUGAUGAAUAGUGAUGGUGUUGUUUGAAUGAUGUUAUUUUGAGUUUAUAGUGGAAUGACUAGAUUUCAUAACAAGUUUAAUGAAUAAGUUGGAGUUAAAAUUCAUGGAUUGUCAUUCAAAUAAUCAAAUGAGGAUUUUUGUUAAACUUACAAGAUUAGAUUUAAGUGUUAGACACUUAGUUGGUUUAGUAGGUAUCGUUGUGAUUCGUUCUUGAAUUAUGUGAGUUCGUAUAUGUAGAUCGUGACUCAUUGGCGUUAUUGGAUCAUUUGUGAUAAGGUUGGAAGCAAUUUAAGGUACGUUGAAACUUACUACCCUCAGAAUUUUUCUCCAAAACUCAUAUCGAAACACGAUUAAACUGAGUUUCAAAAUGCGAGUCCUAGCUUGUGGGAAUGAGUGAGAUGAGACUUUACCAUUCUUGCAUCAUAAAAGAUUUAAGUGAUAUUAAUAUUAUUUUCCUAAAAUGUUGUAUCUUAAUUAAAGAAAAAAACUAAAUAAAUAAGGAAUAGCACUUGUAGUAUUUUGAAAUGAAAAUACAUUAGUUGUAAAAUAUCUUGGAUAUAGUUAUUCUCAAAUAGUUGAUUUGGCUAUAAAUAUCAUCAUUGAUAAAUGUAAAGGUUUUGGGAGUUACUUAAAUUCAUUAAGAUUGACCUUGGACAUUUUUCCUCAUUAGGUCAUAAAACUACACGUGCCGGUGUAGGCGUAGAACCUACCUUAUGGUUGGGGACUACGGCAGAGUACUUCCCAUUAGGGAGUGCUACUUUAUUAGCAUGGCUGAGUCGAUUCGUGCGGCACAACGAUGAGAUGACCUGAGCAAGUAGAGUAUAUGAUACUUGCCGCUAGGUACAUAACCUAGUUGACCUUCUUUCGUGUUGAUGAUGGUAUAAUGCUCCCGGUAAAUAAAAAUUCUAACAUGAUUUUGCAAAGAUCAAUGAUAAAGGAAGACUUUGAAAUAUGUUUUACCAUAUUAUUGUGUUGUACUUUUUAAAUUGUUAAUUGAUAUGAAUACUUCUUUCUUGAUAUCAAUUAUUAUUGCAUAUCUUAUGUCUUCUUGAACAUCGUCCUAUUUUCUUUUUGGGGAAUGAUUCAUGAUUCGUACUAGGCAUGUGUAACUUAGGCCUUUCAGCCAAAUUUAUAUUUUUUAUUUUCAGGGACUAGACCUGAGCAACUUGGACCGUGUGGAUAGGGCAGCUCUACAUUUCCCGUUAACGUUCUUUGGUGAGACUCCACGCUUGUAUUUGUGGAGGACUUUAUUAUAUUAAAUCCUUUUAAGCCACCGGGUUAUGCCUUGGCUGACUAUUCCAUUUCGUGUUAUUGAGAUUCCAUAGACAACAAUAUAUUCAUUUUGGGUUGUAAUCUUAUGGUUACUUACAUGGUGUGCAUG